rnacentral:lncRNA from 1 species
CCGGUUGAGGUAAUCUCCAGCAUCUUUUCUUUUACUUACUUUGCUCUUUUAUUUUAUAUUCUCAAGCAUGGUAUUAAAUAUAAAAAUGACAUCAAGUGGUUGAGUCUGAAUUUUAUUGUUGUCAUGUUUAAAAAUAUUUAUCUAUUGUAAAAGACCGUCUGUAAGUAAUCUUUUUGCCAAAAUAAACAGGGGUGAUUAUUAUCAUUAAAAAAAAAAAAUUUGUAUUUCCCUGAGAAAGAUCACAUAGGUCUUUCUUUCACUCACAACCAGGUUUUGGUGUAGAAACUGACCAUGAGAUACUUCUCAUGAAAAAUAUGUUGCAUAACCUUAAAAUCAAGAUUACCUAGGAGUAAUAAUCAUAGUAGCAAAACAGUGACAUCCUUUAUGAUUGUUUAGCAGAAAAUCAUUUAUUUUUAACACAAGACCAGGGUAGGAUACUCUCAAAAACAAGUAUAAGGGUUCCUUGUUUUGCCCUUGUCUUAAGUUGGAUCACAUUGUAUUUCCAUGUGGAUAGUGUCCUGAUAUAUUUAUUCUGCCUCCAGGCAAAGAAAUAUAUAUUUCUAACAGGCAAAAAAAUAUAUAUUUAUUCUGUUUCCAGUCUUCCACUGUUUCAUGUCUAGUUCUUUUUUAAGUUCCAAAAUAAAAAAAAUAAUGCAUGGUUCAUUUCUUCCUCUAUAGGUACCAGUGAUGAUGUUGUUCUUGUAGGCCACCUAUCAAGCAAUUUCCGAUUACCAAAAGCCCUACCCAUAAGCAAUUGCACGAGAGCUUAUGCAUGUGGAAGUAUCUAUCAAUGGAAAACCUACUAAGGCUAUAAUAGACACCUUUCAAAAUUGGAAAGCAUGACAUACCUUUAAAAAAUACAAAAUGGAGGGCAUGAGAUGGGUAGGAAAGCAUGAGGAAUGACGGAUGAAUUUAACAUAUGUAUAACACCUUUUCUAAUGGAAACUAUGGCUUACUCUGCAACAUGUCUAUGCCCGAGUUACAUUACUUCUUCCUUAAAAGCAUAAAAAUUGGUUUUAGAAGUGUAUUUUUACUUGGAGAAUACAAAUCCUAUUUUCUGCAUUCAUAGCUUUAGAGUUAAGAGACUUGGAAUUUUGUGUAUUGAAACUAGGACAUGAGAACAUGCAAAUUCACAUGCAAACCAACAAGAAGAUAUGUAGACAAAAAUAUAGUGGAACUAGUCUCAUUUGAAGACCCCUGAUCAAAUUAAUUUUAUUUUUCACAUAAAAAGAAGAUUAUACUUGUGAUUUCAUAGAAUCACUACAACAAUAUUUAUGGCCACAUCUUAAAAAUAUGAUGAGAAAUUAUUUGUUGAUAAAUAAAUAAAUCAUGUACACAUACUCUAUCACGAAACCAUUCAAAAUAGUCAUGAAUAUUGGAAUCCCUGAAUAUUUGAACUCUUUAGCAUGUAUUCUAAUUAAACUAUUUAAAUAUGUUGAAUUCAAGGACAUAAUGAAUGUAGUUUUGAAAGGAGGAAGCAACAUUCUUAGAUCUGCUUUAUUAUUCUAGGGAAUCACUAUAACACUGUAAUAGCACCUAUCUAUCUCUCUCUCUCUCUCUCUCUCUUUCUCUCUCUCUCUCUCUCUCACACACACACACACACAAACGUAAAAAAGCAAGCUUCUACUAACUUGAGUAUGUUCUAUGAAUACAAAAAAAAAAUAGAACAUGGAAUCUCAGGUUAACAACAUAAACAAAAACAAAAAAGGAAAAAUAAAAAAGAAAAACAAAUGAAAAAUUACUGGCAAGGGAAUUUGAUUUGGAAAGUAUACAAAAGAGACUAUUUUCUUUUAAUAAAACGAGGUCGCAAUCACUCUCGUCCAUCAGAUUUCGAAUCAGGUGGUUGUGAGUGUGUUAUUCACUUGGCUCAAGCUUAAAAAAAAAAAAAUCUCUAAACCCCAAGCCAUCCAAUUUGAUAUAUAAUGGCUAACAACAAUCGUGCUCUCUUUGAAAAAAUAUAACUAAUCUAAUAGUAUAGAAUUCCAUAUAAAGCUAUCUUAGGGUGGGGUGGGGCUGAUCCAACAUAUAACAAUUUUCGCAAAUAUAUCAAAUGGGAAAUAAGGAACCUGCGAUAGAAUGUUAUAUUAUUAUUUAUGGAAUUGUUACUUAGAAGUUUAACAUAAUGAAUUUAAAGAUGUUCCAUCAUUAUUUUUUAAAGUAGAAAAAGAUUUCAAUCCCCCACGAGAGCAUAUAUUGUUCAUUGAUUCCCUAAGUUAUGGCUCAAUUUUAGAUUAUUUUUAAGACUUCAAAAUUUGUUGAUGUAAGAUAAUUUAUCUUUAAUACAUGGAGUUUUUGUUUUUUGGUGGUGCAAGGAUUUUACAAUCACCUAUGACCAAGAGACUUACCUAUUACCAUUAAACGUGAAAUAUAACAUGUUUGGUAUGUCACAAAGUUUGGUUAAACUUUGAUUUUGCCUAGUCAAUAGAACAAACUCAACUAUCCACUUUUACAUCCAACGAUCAAGUUUGAUUGUGACAUCCAUAUACUAAAUACAAGUGUGGUCUUCUAGUUUAUUUUCCCAUAACAAACCAUCAACUGCCCCCUCUACUCUCUCAAUGGGGGAGACCAAAAGACAUUCAAAUAGAUAUGUCCCAUUCACUCUCCUCUACUUUUGGCUUUGUUGUGGCUUCAUUUUUGCUCAUGUAGGGUUUCACUCUCUAAAGGUUUCAACUACAAAGACAAUCUUCUCCUUUUUCUACAUUCUCUCUUUUACUAAAAUUCAUAUCUCAUUAUCUUCUCCACCUACUCAACUUUCUCUCACUACAAAUGUUAACUUUCUCUCACUACAAAUAUAUGUACAUGUCACCCAAAUACUACACAUUCAAAUCUCACUCCCAUUGUUCUCUCACUAAACAAGACAAGCCUACCCACACAAAUCAUUCUCUCUCACUUCACUUCUCAUAAAUCCCCCAUCCCUCUCACUUCUCUCUCUCUCUCUCAUUGUGGAAGCAAAAGCAUGUUGGCCACAAACACACAUUCUCUCUCUCUCACUCAAACAUUGGCAUCUUGACAACAUAGCCCCUCGGGGUGUAAGUAGGCAAGGCGGGCCCAACAUGUUCUUCAUGUUGCACAUUAGCCUGGUUAUGGAUUUUUUAUUUAGAAAAAUAUAUUAUGAGACUAUUUUUAUUUGUUUCAAGGGGGUCACAAUCAGCUAAUCACUCCUAAUAAUUAGAUAUUUAAUUAAAUGGUUUGGGAUAUUCUCAAAAUCUAAAAAUUUAAUUUCUCAAAUAAAUUAAUUUUUAAAAAUAUUGAGGGAUGCUAAAAUGCAAAUUUUCAUAUGUUUAACAACAGAAAGUGGGUAAUUUAGUCAUUAAAAAUUGUGAAGUAUUAUUGUAAUAACUGGUAGAAACUGGGUACAGAUGUAAUGAAAAAAAUGAACACUAAAAUUUAUAUAACAUUUGAGAAAAGGAUAUGUGCAAAUUUUAAUUUACCUAUAUAAGCUGGUGACUAAAAUUACUACUACAUGGCCUUAUCGGCCUUUUUUCUCUCUUGUUUUUGCUUCUAACCUCAAGAUAAAUUGUAACACUUGAAAAAUAUAACCAUCAUUUAAGUGAAUUCACCGAAAAAAGAAUUAUAAAAGAGAGUAAUUGGUAAUUUUAGAUCGCUUUAACUUUUAAUAGAGCACAUAUAUUAUGCUCUUUUGGGAGCAUAGUUUAUUUGUACUUCGAAGGACAUAUGACUUAUUUGGAAGGAUAUUUUCAAUCUAAAAUAAUGUGAAGGACAUAAACAUCACUAGAGGGAUGAGUACUCUCAAAAAAAUAAAAAAUUAAAAUUUGAGUUUUUAACAUUUAGAUCUCCCCUUUUAAAAAUUGGAUGGUUCACAUUCAAUCUUGAGAUGGUACUUUUUUUCAAGUGGUUGUAGGGAUCAUUAGGAAUGUGGUUAAUCUAUAGGUUGAUGAGGUUAUAUUCCAAACUCUGAGGUACUAAAGCUAAUUUUUAAUUGAAGGAGUAGAUACACAGUAUACUCCGAAGCGACUAUAAUACUUUUUCACCUUUAAGUAAUGGAAAACUUUUCUAUUUAAAUAAGAGGGUUAAAAGGAGGUUUCAUCGUUCCUCUGUCUCUUUUCUCAAGAUUCAAAACUCGAAAGCCAGAAGCUCCUCCGGCAAGUUUCUGCUAGUUCCGGGCGGCAGCUUCAACAGUCACAGGUGAGUCUUUUAUUUAUUUUGAUUUUUUGUAUCUAAUAUUCAGUAGUAUUUAAUAUUUAGUGCUUUAGGUUUAGAAAAUAGGAAAAUAAGGAGACAUUUGUUUCCAAUUUCGGUUUAGGUCAAGAAUGAGGGUUUUAUAGUUUUGUAUUGUUUUUUUUUUUUUUUCUUUUGGGUUUCAAUUUUAGGUUAUUAAAGAAGGGUUUUACAAUUUGUAAAACCCCUCAAAUUACUACACUCAAAUAUAAAAAUUUGAACAAACCCUAUCUUUUUGGUUUUUUUUAAUAUAUUAGUUUUAACAUUUGAUAUUGAAAUUUAUAAGGGCUUAGACGAUGAAUCCUAAAUAAAAUCCAAACAAUGAAAUAAGGAGAAAAUUGAAAUUGCAAUAUCUGUUUUAGUUUAUGUUUUGUAAAGGACAUUAAUAAACCAGCAGAAAAAUGAAAAUGCGAAAAAACAAAGUGAAAUACAUAUGGGGCAUUUUUUUUGUUUUUCUACUUUUCUGUUUUCAAUUUUUGGAAUGGGAAAUCGAAAAUGCAGAAGAGAGAAAUUAGAAAAUCUUAGAAAACAGAAAAAAUAAAAUAAAAUUUAAAAAGAAAAAACGGAAAUAAAACAAAGGAAAAAAUCGAGAAAAACUUUCUAUUCUUCGGUUUUCUUUUAUAUACUAAUAUAGUUUUAGCUUUUAAUGUUGUAAUUUUCAAUGGCUUAAAUGCGAUUCCUAAAUAAAAUCAGAAAAAAUAAGAAAAUAAAGAAAAAUUGAAAUUGAGUUAUUAUAUUAUUAAUGAGUAUUUAUGUGUUAUUUACAAAUACUGUUAAUGAGUAUUUAUUUAUUUUUUCAAGAGUUAUAUUUGUUUCUAGUAUUUCCUAAUUUUUCUAUAUUUUCCAAAUUUUCCUUAUGUUACUAUUUUAUUAAUUAUUUAAUUUCUUAGACCUCAAUCUGUUUAAUUUAACUUUGAUUUAUUCUUUUCAUUAUAAAGUCCUCUGAAAUCCCAUCUUCCCUAAACUCUCCACACUACUCUCCCUCUUCCCCAAACUCUGCACAUUACUCUCCCUCUUCCCCUCCUUCCCCAAACUCUCCACAUUACUCUCCCUCUUCCCCUCCUUCCCCCUAGUACUCUCUUUUUCCUAACUCUCCAGAAGACUCUCCCUCUUCUCCCCAAUACUCUUCCUCUUUCCCCAACUCUUCCGAAUACUUUCCCUAUUCUCCCCAAUACUUUCCCUCUUCUCUCCAAUACUCUCCCUCUUCCCCAAACUCUCCACACUAACUCUCCCUCUACCCCUCCNNNNNNNNNNNNNNNNNNNNUUCCUCCACUCCAAUACUCUCCCUCGUCCCUCAACUCUCCUCAAUACUCUCCCUCUUUUCCCUAGUACUCUCUCUCUUCCCCCAACUCUCCACAAUACUCUCCCUCUUCUCCCCAAUACUCUCCUCAAUACUCUUCCUCUUCUCCCCAAUACUCUCCCCCUUCCCCCAAAAUACACUCCCUCUUCUUCGCAAUACUGUCGUACUUUGACUUGGAGUCUAUAGGCUCCAAUUCUCCCUCACCCUCUCCCCAAUACUGUCCCUCUUCCCCACAGUACUUUGACAUGGAGUCUACAGGCUCCAAUUCUCCAUCUCCCUCUCUCUCGUAUUCUCCCCUCUCUCCAUCUCCCUACUCUCCCCAUUCAUCCUAUGGUUAUUGAGUUUUUGUUUUUCUAUUAAAUUAAUAUUCUUUUGUAAUUUUUUUUUAGUUAGAAAAUUUAAUGUUAGUUAUUUCUUAACAAUUUUUUCCUUGUAAUCGGUGCCAUUAUGAAUUUUAAUAAGAAUUAUUUUUUUAUUUUCUCUCUGUUGUUCACUUGCAGGGGUAUCAGCGUCUCAUGGAGGCAUACAUUUAGGACGCCCAACGCGUUCGCAGAUCUCAUGACAAAUGACGGAGCCGACUUCACAAACUGUCCUGGACUACCUCUAAGCUAGCUGAUGAGGCUUUCUCUCCUUUUUGUUCACUACUCACAUACAUGUUGUAAAUAGGGUGUUAUAUAAACCCUUGCGGAGCCAACUCAAUGUUUUCACAGUAUUGGAGUCUUUUUUGACUUACUUCUUUGUUUAUUCAAUGUAACAGUUAACUUUCUGAAAAAAAAAAAAAAAAUUAAUGUGUAAUGUGGUUUGUCUCUACAUUUUGCAAUCUACUGAAAUACAAUGUUCUGAAAUUGAGUAUAAUUGGAAUUGUAAACAAG